rnacentral:lncRNA from 1 species
AUAAGAAAGAAAUAAGGCUAUAACAUACCACGUGAGGCUCAAUGGGCUAGCAAUGGUUUAAUAUAUCAAUAAAGGUGAUAAGGUGUAAGGCUAACCGAAAUGAUGGCCACCCAUCCUACGACCAUGGUCUCAAAUGUAAUACUUCUUCAACUAAUCCACAUUGGUGGGGUUUGAGAACUGGUCUCUGUCCAGAUACGUCAAUCAUAUUUCCUCUCUAGGGUAAACUCUCUAAUGACAAGUGGUGUACUCCAAGUAAGUCCCUAGGGUCUCCUGGAAUAGAUGAAUCUCCAUAAUCAUAAUUGGGCUAACAUCGUCCUCAAACACAUCAUCAACAUAAGCGGAAUUCCCCAACAUAAAUAAAUCGAAUCUCUCCUCAACUCUCAACAAUGAAUAUCUCAAGCAUAUCAAGAGGGUGAACCAUCUCUGGCUAAUCUGUGCUAGUCAUCCAACUAUCAUCCAACACAUAUAUCUCAGGCUCAUCAUGAAGAAAACCAUGUCAAUCAAAGCUCCCAUCUGAGAAAAACUAACGUCCUCUAUAAGAACUCUCAUCUGAUAAACUUUGACUCAUAAUCCACUAAACUCAUCAUAUGUACGAAGUCACCCUCAACAAUGUCACUGGCUAACUGAGUGGUGGGGGUGGGUGGUAAUGAAUCAUACGACAUCUCAUCCUAAACUGGAUGCUAUCUAUCUCACUGUCCAUCAAUCAUCUGGCUCAAACCUGCUAAUGCAUCCUGAAUAGAGUCAUGGUGACUGUAGGUCGAUCAACUGUAUCAUGCUGAGGAUCCAUACCUGACUGCUUUGAAACCUUGACCAAUCUAUCUCCAACUCUAAUGUAAGAAGUCGAAUCUAAACCGAAACGAAUAACACUCCUAUAAGGUACAAAGGCACGAAAAGAUAAAUGACAUGAAGAAAACUCAGAAGAUGUGGAAACACACUAAUCACUAAGAAGAAAGGUGGCCCAAUUGAAACUCAAAUAUGUACCGAUCUCUGAGCACACCAAAAGGAGACUACGGAGAGGAUAACUGAACCCAAUUGUGACCAAGGCAGCUCCGAAGGUCCACAGAUGCACCCACGUGUAGGAAUGAAA